UUCGAAGCCAACAUGGCCUUAACCUCAAAACGGAUGUCUGUGAUAAUAUGGUAGGCAGAAGGAUGAAACUGUAUUGUUUCUCUUUUACAGGAGCACUGCCAUAAGACGCUUGGGUCAGAGACAGUGAUCACCAUGGAUAAAGCAGCUGCAGCCUCAGGAGCCUGAGUAUGGAAGACUGUGUCAGUGUCACAGAUAUCAAAGCAACAGGGCUCAGCAGCACCUCAAGAGGGUCAUCUAAUUCACCUCUUUGUCCCAAAGGCAGGAUCAAUUUCUUCUAAAUUGUUCUUGACAGAAGUUCAUUUAAUCCAUUCUGAAAUCCUCCAGCCACUCCUCAGCUUCCCUCAGAAAUCCAGUCUGCGAUCAGCCUCCUUUACCAUUAGAAAACUUCUGCAAAUGCUUGGCCUACAUCUCCCUGACUGCAAUUUAGCCUAUCACUUCUUGCACCGCUCUGUUGAAGGUUACAGAACCACAGAAUCAGAGAAUGAUCAAGAAUUGAAGGGACCUCUAGAGACCAUCUGGUCCAACCUGCUCAAGUAGGAUGACUUAGAGCAAGUCGCCCAGGACAACACCCCAUUGGGUUUUGAGUACCACAAGGAUGGAGACCCCCCAUUCUCUCUGGGAAGCCUGUGCCAGUGUUUAACCACCCUAAUGAUAAAAUAAAAUAAAAUAAAAUUUUU